rnacentral:rRNA from 1 species
AAUAUUGGUCAAUGGGCGGAAGCCUGAACCAGCCAUCCCGCGUGCAGGAAGACGGCGCUAUGCGUUGUAAACUGCUUUUCCAGGGGAAGAAAACCCGCGACGAGUCGUGGUUUGCCGGUACCCUGGGAAUAAGCAUCGGCUAACUCCGUGCCAGCAGCCGCGGUAAUACGGAGGAUGCGAGCGUUAUCCGGAUUUAUUGGGUUUAAAGGGUGCGUAGGCGGAUUAUUAAGUCAGUGGUGAAAACCUUCAGCUUAACUGGAGACUUGCCAUUGAUACUGAUAGUCUUGAGUACGGUCAAGGUAGGCGGAAUGUGUAAUGUAGCGGUGAAAUGCUUAGAUAUUACACAGAACACCGAUUGCGAAGGCAGCUUACUGGGCCAUUACUGACGCUGAUGCACGAAAGCGUGGGGAGCGA